UGGGGAAUAUUGCACAAUGGGCGCAAGCCUGAUGCAGCGACGCCGCGUGAGGGAUGACUGCCUUCGGGUUGUAAACCUCUGUUAGCAGGGAAGAAGAGAGAUUGACGGUACCUGCAGAGAAAGCGCCGGCCAACUACGUGCCAGCAGCCGCGGUAAUACGUAGGGCGCGAGCGUUGUCCGGAAUUAUUGGGCGUAAAGAGCUUGUAGGCGGUUUGUCGCGUCUGCUGUGAAAGGCCGGAGCUUAACUCCGUGUAUUGCAGUGGGUACGGGCAGACUAGAGUGCAGUAGGGGAGACUGGAAUUCCUGGUGUAGCGGUGGAAUGCGCAGAUAUCAGGAGGAACACCGAUGGCGAAGACAGGUCUCUGGGCUGUAACUGACGCUGAGAAGCGAAAGCAUGGGGAGCGAACAGGAUUAGAUACCCUGGUAGUCCAUGCCGUAAACGUUGGACACUAGGUGUGGGGGACAUUCCACGUUUUCCGCGCCGUAGCUAACGCAUUAAGUGCCCCGCCUGGGGAGUACGGCCGCAAGGCUA
rnacentral:rRNA from 1 species